UACGGAGGGUGCAAGCGUUAUCCGGAUUCACUGGGUUUAAAGGGUGUGUAGGCGGGCAGGUAAGUCCGAGGUGAAAUCUCUGAGCUCAACUCAGAAACUGCCUUGGAUACUAUUUGUCUUGAAUAUCGUGGAGGUGAGCGGAAUAUGUCAUGUAGCGGUGAAAUGCAUAGAGAUGACAUAGAACACCGAUUGCGAAGGCAGCUCACUACGCGAAGAUUGACGCUGAGGCACGAAAGCGUGGGGAUCAAACAGG
rnacentral:rRNA from 1 species